GGGCCCGCACAAGCGGUGGAGCAUGUGGUUUAAUUCGAUGAUACGCGAGGAACCUUACCAGGACUUAAAUGUAAGUUGCAUGAUUCAGAAAUGAAUCUUUCUUCGGACUACUUACAAGGUGCUGCAUGGUUGUCGUCAGCUCGUGCCGUGAGGUGUCAGGUUAAGUCCUAUAACGAGCGCAACCCCUAUCGUUAGUUGCCAUCAAGUAAAGUUGGGAACUCUAGCGAAACUGCCGGUGUAAACCGAGAGGAAGGUGGGGAUGACGUCAAAUCAUCACGGCCCUUACGUUCUGGGCUACACACGUGCUACAAUGGCCGGUACAGAAAGCAGCCACUAUGCGAAUAGGAGCUAAUCUUUAAAACCGAUCUCAGUUCGGAUCGCAGUCUGCAACUCGACUGCGUGAAGCUGGAAUCGCUAGUAAUCGCGCAU
rnacentral:rRNA from 1 species